rnacentral:misc_RNA from 1 species
GAUGAAGAACGUAGCGAAAUGCGAUACUUGGUGUGAAUUGCAGAAUCCCGUGAACCAUCGAGUCUUUGAACGCAAGUUGCGCCCGAAGCCAUUAGGCCGAGGGCACGCCUGCCUGGGCGUCACACGUCGUUGCCCCCCCAUCUACUCCUUCGGGAUUGCGGGGGGGCGGAUGAUGGCCUCCCGUGCGCCUCGUCGCGCGGUUGGCAUAAAUGCCAAGUCCUCGGCGACGCACGCCACGACAAUCGGUGGUUGCGAAACCUCGGUUGCCCGUCGUGUGCGGUCGUCGCGCAUCGAGGGCUCGAAAAAAUUGCCGGGCUCCGGCUCGGCUUUCAACGCGACCCCAGGUCAGGCGGGGUUACCCGCUGAAUUUAAGCAUAUCAAUAAGCGGAGGA